ACAUUCAGUUGGGCACUCUAAUGAGACUGCCGGUGACAAGCCGGAGGAAGUGGGGAUGACGUCAAGUCCUCAUGGCCCUUAUAGGUGGGGCUACACACGUCAUACAAUGGCUGGUACAAAGGGUUGCCAACCCGCGAGGGGGAGCCAAUCCCAUAAAGCCAGUCGUAGUCCGGAUCGUAGUCUGCAACUCGACUACGUGAAGUCGGAAUCGCUAGUAAUCGUGGAUCAGAAUGUCGCGGUGAAUACGUUCCCGGGUCCGUU
rnacentral:rRNA from 1 species